rnacentral:rRNA from 1 species
AUUGAACGCUGGCGGCAUGCCUUACACAUGCAAGUCGAACGGUAACAGGUCUUCGGAUGCUGACGAGUGGCGAACGGGUGAGUAAUACAUCGGAACGUGCCCGAGAGUGGGGGAUAACGAGGCGAAAGCUUUGCUAAUACCGCAUACGAUCUCAGGAUGAAAGCAGGGGGCCGCAAGGCCUUGCGCUCACGGAGCGGCCGAUGGCAGAGUAGGUAGUUGGUGGGAUAAAAGCUUACCAAGCCGACGAUCUGUAGCUGGUCUGAAAGGACGACCGGCCACACGGGGACUGGGACACGGCCCAGACUCCUUCGGGAGGCAUCAGUGGGGAAUUUUGGACAAUGGGCGCAAGCCUGAUCCAGCCAUGCCGCGUGCAGGAUGCAGGCGUUCGGGUUGUAAACUGCUUUGGUACGGAACGAAAAGACUCUGGUUAAUACCUGGGGUCCAUGACGGUACCGUAAGAAUAAGCACCGGCUAACUACGUGCCAGCCGCCGCAGUAAUAC